rnacentral:piRNA from 1 species
UAGAUAUUAGGUGAUAUGGGCUCU